GACGUAGGGGGCGAGCGUUGUCCGGAAUUACUGGGCGUAAAGAGCACGUAGGCGGGAACUUAAGUCAGGUGUGAAAGACCGUGGCUCAACCACGGGUAUGCAUUUGAAACUGGGUUUCUUGAGGGCAGGAGAGGAAAGCAGAAUUCCUGGUGUAGCGGUGAAAUGCGUAGAAAUCAGGAGGAAUACCAGUGGCGAAGGCGGCUUUCUGGACUGACCCUGACGCUGAGGUGCGAAAGCGUGGGUAGCAAACAGGAUUAGAUACCCUGGUAGUCCCUGA
rnacentral:rRNA from 1 species